GCCCUCACCAUCAGUCACCAUGCAUGUCACUUUACUAUCUUUCUUUACGUUGUUAGUAUACUGCAUGUGUUCUAUUGCCGACACUCCUUGGACCAAUUAUCUUUUGAGAUCUUUUCCAUCUUUCUUUACGUUGUUAGUAUACUUAGGGGGUGGGGAGCCGAAGAGAACAAAGCCCUCACCGUCAAUCACCAUGCAUGUCACUUUACUAUCUUUUUUACGUUGUUAGUAUACUUAGAGCAGUUCCAGCGUGGGAACCCUCCUCCCAGGCAAUACACUAUGCUAUCCACUCAAUGAACAGUAACUGCCUUAAUAAACAGUAACCGUUUUUUGCAUCUCCACAGUUACACUUUAAUAGCCCUAACAAUAGGCAAUAAAAUAAUAGUUUUAUUUAUUUAUAAAAUAAUACCAAGAUAAUUAAAAAAAGACAAAGCAAAGAGCAGCAUAUGACUCUCUCUCUCUGUUGAAAUGAAGACCACCAACACAGCCACCACAAACACAAAGCUUAUCCUCCUCCACCCCUAAGCAAUCCACAAACAGUGGAAGCCACCGCCUGUGGCUCUUCUUCUUCUUCACCUUCUUCACCCUCGCAUUCACCCUCACUCUCAUCAUCACCACCAUCCCCCAAACCCUCCCCACCUCCUCCCUCACCCCCACCUCCGUACUCCCCUUCCCGCCCGUCGUCUUGGACGCACUUCUUCACUAUGCCAUUUCAUCAUCAAACACCUCGUCAGCACCCCACAUGUCCUCGCCGGAACUCACAUCCAUAUCCUCCGCCCUCACCCGCCUCUGCGCACCCAACUGCAAUUUCCUCUUUUUCGGCCUCACCCUCUAGAACCUAACAAAAAAAUUAAAAAAUUAAAAAAGGCGUCUGACAUCAGCUAACGUCAGAACCACCUCAGGUGCUCGGGCCAGAACGAAUCCACGGGCCUAGAGCUCGGCCUGCUCGGGCUCCCUCGCCAGCCAACGAUGGACUUCCUCCCUGGGCAAUCAGGUCUUGUGCUGAAGCAUGUCCAUCAAGCAAAAGCUCCCGCUGGAGCUGCUCUUAGGGGGGAGCUGAAGAGAACAAAGCCCUCACCGUCAGUCACCAUGCAUGUCACUUUACUGUGAAUAAAAAGAAAAGCUGGUAGUUCAACUAAUCUCAUAAAAUUUGUCAAUUUUCAAUAAAAAAAAAAGAGGGGGGUUAGUCCUAAGUUUUCUUGAAACAUAAGUAUUGUUGUGCAUCAUAUUAGGGUAUAUACUACACUUACUUACCACAUAUUUGUAUUAUCUAUCUAAUAGAAGAAAUGGCACGUAAGGCCGAUAGCGGCCCCUAGAAAUUAAAGUCUUGCAUGGAACUCAAUUGUCAGAGAAGUCGUUUGAGUGCCCUCACUUUUGCGAUUACUACUACUACUAAGAAUCUUGUACCACUAUAUGAAAAUUUAUUAAAUGACGAGAAUAACUUGUAUGAAAUAUGUAUACUGUCAUCAUGAUGUCUCAAUUUCAUAAUGUAAUGUCGUAUGAAAGAAAAUUUUGCACAUAACAAUUUAUUAGACAAAAACAUCAUGUGAUAAACAUAUUCGACGUAAGUCUUCUCCGAUAAUUUAGCCAUGGUACCAUGAUGACAUUUCAACUUUUAUCUUUGAAAAAUAAGAGUAUAGGACCCCAUUUCGUCUUGACCUUUUCUCAAAAUACUGUACCAUUCUUUUGUCCGUGAGUCUCUAUUGUGGUCAGCAUACAACAGCUGUUAUUAAUUACUGUAACCACAUACUCGAGUUGACAUCGAUCAUUCCUGCCAGUUGCCAGACAAAAUUAAUGGAAACUUAGAUUGUUUUAACUGUACGAGAUAUUUUCUGAGUGUGUGUACUUUUAAGUUUUAAUCCAUUUUAAUUUGUGUCAUUUUUUUAUAAACAAAUGAUAUUAUUUAUAUUUAAAAAGAAUAUGAGUUUAGUCUCAUAAUGAGCUAUCAAUAAUAUGGUUCAAAUUCGUCUUUGACAAUAAUCGAACUUGAGACGAUUCAAAUUCGCAUUUGACAAUAACCGAACAUGUGAUCUAUUACUUACAAGUGCAGAGGAAUACCACUAGAUCGUAGUAUUAAAUGAUAAUUGAAUAUGUGUCAUUGAAUAAUUAAGGGAGUGAAAAUUCUAUGUGUAUAACUAUAAGGCGUGGGUCGGAAGAAGGAUUUUAUAUCGAUAGCGUCGAUAUCAGUAGUGUCAAUAAUUGUAUCGAUAAUUAUGGUGUACUAAUAACUAUACAUACGUUGACAUAUAUUUUCAUCAGUACUUGUGUUGAUGUACAAAACCGGAAGUCUUGGAACAACGUAAAUCCGACCGUGAAUCUACAUGUAAUGUAAAUAACAUAAGAUGUAUCGUGGUUCACCCCAAGGUUUGGGCUACGUCCACACUGAUAUUGUAUUUAUCUGAGAGGUGAGGGAGAUAACCUCUGAAUAUGAGAGGGGAUUGAGAGGGGUGAGAAGGCUUCAUAAAUGGCCUCCUCUAAUUGUGAGGGUGAUGGGUCAUUUUAUAGAAUAAGGACUUCUCACUUAUUACAUAUUUGCCCAUUCCUUUAUUACAUAAUUACAUUUAAGUCCCCUGAGUAUUUAUACGAGGUCUAAAUACGAGGCCCUAAAUAUGGUAUAAACAGUAGUCCCCCAAGUCUUCAGUCAAGAGAGUCUUUUGGCUGGAGACUUGAAAUUCAGUCCAUGUCCAUGUGUGGGCCGAAGUAACUAAAUGUUGUCUUGAACUGAUGUUCGAUAUGAGGCGGUGCUCAAUCUGAAAUGAUGCUCAACUAGAAGUAGCAUAUGUUGCAAGGCUGCUCGGCUUGUGGUUUAUGUUGCCUUGGUUGACUCGGCUUGUAGCGCUUGAAGGUGAGGGAGUCCCUUUUAUAGAAUAAGGGUUCGCUCAUCGAUACAUAAAUGAUGGGCUAGAGUUGAUGCUCGCGGCGAGGCGGUUGCUCAGUAGGCGGCGAUGCUCUCUAAUGAUGGUGAGGGAGUCCCUUUUAUAGAAUAAGGGUUCGCUCCUCAAUAUAUGAAUAAUGUGCUAGAGUUGAUGCUCUCUAAUGAUGGUGAGGGAGUUCCUUUUAUAGAACAAUGGUUCGCUCCUCGAUACAUAAAUAUGGGCUGGAGUUGAUGCUCGCGGCGAGGUGGUUGCUCAGUAGGCGGUGAUGCUCUCUAAUGGUGGUAAGGGAGUCCCUUUUAUUAAAUAAGGGCUCGCUCCUCAAUAGAUGAAUAAUGUGCUAGAGUUGACGCUCUUUAAUGAUGGUGAGGGAGUCCAUUUUAUAGAAUAAGGGUUCGUUCCUAAAUACAUAAAUAAUGGGCUAGAGUCCCCCACUGCUUUGUUCCCCUAAUACUAAACAUCUGAAACAGAAGAUUUUAUUUCAUCACUAACGUUUAUUCUUUGGGCUUCUCAUUUGUAACAGGAUACCGAUGUUGUGUGGCUAAGGGACCCCUUCAAAAAACUAAGCAAGAACGAAACAGAAGAUUUACAAAUGAGUACAGAUAUGUUCUUCGGGGAUCCUUGGAACGCAAGUCAGUUGAUCAACACUGGCUUCUACUACGUCAGAUCCAAUAGCAAGACCAUAGCACUGUUUGAUAGAUGGUACACCUCCAAGGACAAUGCCACAGGACUGAAAGAGCAGGAUGUCCUAUUGAACUUAUUCCGAGGGGGUAUUACCGGGGAGUUGGGACUUAGGGUAAGGUUCUUAGACACCCUCUAUUUCAGUGGUUUUUGCCAAAACAGCAGGGACUUCGGGCAAGUGAGCACGGUCCACGCCAAUUGUUGCCGGAGUAUUGUCGCCAAAGUUAAGGACUUGAAAGCCGUCCUCCGGGAUUGGAAACGGUUCAAGAGGUUCAUGUCCCACAAGAGGAGUUCUGGUACUAGUACGACGAGUUUCCAAUGGACUGGGCACUUUGGAUGUUGGAAUUCCUGGGCUGUUCCCAAUUAACUCUGGUAAUGCAACUCAUAAGACAUGAAUUUUUCUUUUUUUUUUUUUUUUUUUUUUUUAAAGAAGACGUUAGUAAAGAAGGAGAAGGGUAAAUCAUACGAGAAGGAAAUAGUUUUCUAUCUUAUUUUUAGAAAGUUCAGGUGAAGGAAGGGAAUAAUUGAACAGUGUCGUUUAAAAUUUGAGGAUAAAUGCUCUACCAAUAGAGUUAUAUAUGCCCCCACAAAGUAGUUCGAUAAAUUCAAAUUUAUGUCUCCUUAUUUUUUUUUUUUCUUUCAAGAUUAUCAAAAUAAAUCUGUAUGCGAUUCAAAGGUAUGUUUCAAAAAAUGUAAGUAGCAUAAAGGAUUUAGAAUGUCUUAAUAUGGGUUUUCUUAGCAUAUCGUGUAAUUUUUAUUAAUUGGUUUGAACUCAAAUGGCGCACAUUUAUCAAUCAUAUUGUACGGUUCAUAUUACUAAUGUGAUUCUUGUCAAAUAUUGUAUGAAUAAAUGUUGAAAUAUUGCAUUUUUAUUUUGUGGUUGGAGCACAUGAGUACUACCAGACCUUCGCAAAUUGAACUUUUUCUUCAUUAAGGUUUUGUAAGAUCUAAAAAUAAAGUAAACUGUGGAUCUCUCCCUUAAACUUUCACCUAACUUUUAAUUUACCCCCUAAACUUUUAAUUGGAAAAUCAAGGACUUAAACUAAUUUUUUGGUUGAUUUCCCCCUUGCUGUUAGUUUUUCAUUCCUUUUCCAUCCAUAUUUCUGUUAAAUGAAAUCAUGUGCACAACAUAUGAGGGUAGUUUGGUCGCUUCAUUAUUUUAAAUAAUUGAAAACCCUAGAUUUCUAAAAUGCCUACCUGUGCAAAUCUGUGUUAUUCUAUAGUUUUUGUGUCUGAAGGUCUAGCGAAGUGUUGUUUUUGUUCUCCAAGGAGAGUCAUGUGAUGUGCACGUGAUAAGAGUUAACAUUAAUUUGAAUGAAAUCUAUGGAAAAAUAACGGUAGGGAAAAUCAGCCAAAAAAAUAGUUGAAGUCCUUGAUUUUCCAAUUUAAAAGUUUAGGGGGGUAAAUCAGAAGUUAGCUAAAAAUUCAAGAGGAAAUCGGCAGUUUACUCCUCAAAAAUAUUAAAAUGCAUACUCUUGAGAUAAAAUGGUGUAAAAGUUUGUAAAUAUUAAGUGUUCAUUGUUGAUCAUGUAUUACUUUAAGAGUUGCUUUUACAUUUUUUUCUUUUUAUUUUGUAUUGCAUACUUCAAAAGUUGAAAAUACCAUCCGAUAACACUCAACGAACUUCAUUUCAAGUUAUUUACCUUUUUUUGUCACUUAGUAUUAAAGUUUAGUGAUACUUUUUUCCAUUUAUACGUAAAAGGUCUUAAGUUGGAUUGUCACAAAAAACGAAUUCAAACUAAAUUAAUAUAGCUAGCUCGUCGUGAGGUUUAACCACUCAUCCACCAAAAAAGUUAUAUACCGUCCUUAAGCUCUCUAAAGUUCUCAUUUUUUAAGGAUCUUUAAUUUUAACCCAAUCAAAACCUUUCUCAAAUUUGAUAUAUUUUGGAAUAAGUAGUCCAGACUUUAGACUUUGCAUUGCAGUUUUUGUUAUGUAAUUAUGAGGAUACAGACUUUGCCUCAUAGUUUCUGUCUUAUUGUAGUCGAACUAGUCACAUCUUAUGUUGAAUUUUAAAAUGAGUAUCGACUAUUUUAAUUAUUCUUCUCAUUUUUUGACUUCAUCAUAUGCCAAGUUUGUGAUGCAAAUUUUGUAUACGACUGAUUUGACAAAAUUUUACCUACAAGAGAACAAACAUUGUUAGUCUAAUUGACAAAUACCUCGAAAUAAAUUUGGAAGGUGUGCACCAAAGUGUAUACGAUGCCUAAGUAAGAAAAGUUGUAAAGAGAAAAGAGAACUUAAAAGACUUCUGAGUAGUAAGUGGUUACUAUGGUUUUCUCUGUUUAACCUGACUAUUUAUAGAGAUCUGAACCCUAGUAGGUAACUGGGAGGGGAGGUUGCAAACCAUACUAGGCAGUCUUUGAUGGUGCAUGUCAGUCGUUAUAGUCAUGCCAGCUAGUAAUCCUGAAGAUCCCUGUUGUAGGGCGCCUAGCGUAUUGGACACCCAAGGAGAGACUCCGAAGGGUUAGCUUCUUGCCACCAUUGGGUUGGGUAUGGCCCGAUGGCAGGACAUAAUAUGGGCUUGAAGCACCUGUGAUAUGGUGGUGGCCUAAAAGCCUAUUACCCAUAGAGUAGACUAAUGUCACAUUCCCUUGAGGUAAUAUGUGUAUGCUCAAGAUGUUAAGACUGUCAUAGUGAGUAUAUAGUCCACAUGGUAAAACCGUCAUAGGGAGUAUAUACUCCACGUGCCCUCCUAUUAGAUGUGAUUAAUUUAUGUUUCUAUAAAUACCCCACAUAUGCUUGAGUUUAAGUGGGAAACAAAAAGAGAUGUAGUUCCUAUUUGUAGAUUUUUUUUUUUGUCUUUCUUUAAGGAUUUAGCUUAAAUAAGAGAUAACCCUUGCUGGAAUUCUCACAGAUUCCUUACUUUAAAAUUCAGGCUUUGCGUAGAGAAUUCAUAGAGAAAAUUUCAAGUAUGAAAAAUUUCCCCCUUCUUCUUCCCGUCCUCGAUGAUGUUGCCUCAACUCAACAUGCCUAGUCUGUUGCUGCUUGCUGUGCGUGCUGAAGCGCGCAGGUGAAGCCGGAUAACUAUGGAGUUAGGGUGCGACUUGAAUGCGACUCAUUGUGCAAUCGGAUCACGAGGAAAUCGUAGAUAUGGUCCCUUAACUUUAACUUAAUUGGAGCAAUGAUCCCUCAACUAAAAAUCCAUUACCAUUGGUCUCUCAACUCAUCAAAACGUGCAGCUAUGGUCCCUCAACUAAAAAUCCAUUACCAUUGGUCCCUCAACUUUAAUUCAACUUGAUAAAUGGUCCCUUAACUUUAACCCAAUUGUAGCAAUGGUCUUUCCAACAUAACUCGUUUUGACAAAAAAUUUGAUGUAGUUGACGAAAAGGACUAUAAUUACACACUUUGAUGAGUUGAGGGACCCUAAUUAUAUAAAUGGUUAUUCCAACAUAAUUUAUUUUGACAAAAUUUUGACGAAAUUGAUGAAAAGGACUAUAGCUACACAUUUUGAUAAGUUGAGGGACAAAAUGGUAAUGAUUUUUUUAGUUGAGGGACCAUUGCUACAAUUUACUCAUCGGACCACUAAUUGGGUCGGUUCGGCUAUAGAAUUUUUUUUCGAAUUUGACUGUUCUUCCGAAUUCAAUCCAACAUCAAUCCAUCUCCAUCAUUAUUAUCAACAAAAGCCAUAUUGGAUUAAAUUAAGAUCUUGUGAGCAAUUUUUGAAAUUUCUUCGUUUCUUUGGUAGGUAAAGCAAGAUGUUGUCUUCCAAGAAAUCAUGGAAAUCAUACAUCACAAAGAUGCGUGACAUCAAGUUAGAUAGAUAGAUGGACAGUUUCCACUUCAUUUCAUAUUCUAGUCGAUGUAACUAUGUUUGAGUUUUCAACACAUUACUUCUUAAUGUCAGCUCUUGUAUAGAAUAGAUUCUGAUCAAGCGGAAAAAGCCCUAUGUUAUUAAUAAGCUAGCACGCCCCUUUCUUUCUCCAAGUCAAGUUUCUCACUUGUUAGUCUUACCCUUACCUUUAUUUAUGGGAUAUUUGAAGAAUCACAUGUUUGGAAGUUAAUCAAACCCCAACUCUCUCAUUUCACACCCUUAUUAACAGUGCUAGGGUUAUUGAUAAACCCUGCGCAAAUGUCCUAUUCUUCAACAGACUAUCACCUGGGGCAAUGUAGAACCUUGAUUGAACCUGAAGCAGCACACUACAUUGUAGACUUUUAUGAAAUAGGAUGCAUGUGAGCGGGCAUUUCAAAUUUUUUGUUCAGAGGCUGGCUAUAUAUUUCUAACGUGCCCUAGGUCAAUUGUGACCUGAUUUCUACUGCCUUCCACCAAUGCCGCCACCAUCACCACAUACAUCAACCUAGCCACCAUGGCAACCAACAAUUCCCUUGUUUGAACCACCAUCACUCCCACCACCCCAAUAUGUUAAUUGCAUCCAAAACCUCUCACUAUCAAUGCUACCACCACCAACCUUCACCAUCAUCGUCAGCGCCACCACCACUCUGCUACCAUUACCACUCUCUCCACCACUCCCACCACCAAUGUCGUUUCCCUUCCCACAUUGCCACCAUUUAUACCCUACCAUCAUCGCACUGUCAUUGUCAUCACUACUACCACUAUCACCAUCACCACAGGCACCCUAACCAUCGUGGCCACCAACACCAUCCCUUAUGCAACCACAAUUUCAUCGUCACCAUCGCCACCAGCUUCAAAUUUAUACUACAAUACAUUAUUAUCAAAAUCAAAAUUACCGUUAGACCUACUCUAACCCUUGGAGUAAAACUCAAAUUUUAGGUUCUAAACUUACUUCAACCCUUGGAGUAAAACUCAAAUUUUAGGUUCUAAACUUACUUCAACCCUUGGGGCAAAUAUGAGUUUUAACCAAAAGCUCAUUUUUGAGGCAAAUUUAGCCCAUGAUUCCCCUGGGUUAGUGGGGCUAGGCCACCAUAUGUGUGUAUUUUUUGUAGUUUUAUAUUUAUAAAUUCAUUGAAUCCAACGAUUAAGAUCUAAUAUAAUCGAAUCCAACGUUAAAAGAAAAUAUCUAUUAAAUCCAAUAGCUAACGUAAUUAAAAAAAAAUUAUGUGUUUCAUAUUCUUUCAUAGUGUUCCACGAGUUUCAUAGUGUAGGUUUGGUGAUUUUUUAAUAUUCAUCGGAAUCUAAAUAUUUUUAGUUUAAAAUGUUUAUAAAUUAAAUUAAGAUAAUCUACAUAAUUUAAAAAAAAUUACUUUAAGAAAAAAAAUAUCCUAAAUUUAUUCUUUAAUAAUUUCGGGCUAAAAAUUUAACCCAUAAUGGUGAGAGGAGAAAAACUGACACACCCCGACCCGGAAUGUCCACUAAGACUUUGAAUCGAGCUACACUGACCGACACCUGGGAGGUGACGAAGCCAUACAGUGUUAUGAUGUGGGAAAAUGUGAAUAAAAACUUAAGAGUGCCUAAAUACCAGAGUGCAUAGGUGAGCGGGAAUGAACCCACUUCACACAUGACGUUAGAGCAUAAGUAAGUACAAUUAAGAAUCGUACCCUUGAAAGAAUCUCCAAUACUAAGAAUUGCCACGAACCUUCGACGAUAAGAAAGCUCAGCUAAUAAAACCUGGAUGGUGAAAACAAGACAAGGGUGGGUGGCCUUAGAAAUAACAUUUUAAUAGAAACCGUAUAAAACAUUAUAACCCCUCGUUACAACACUUAUAUAGUUUCCAGAAAAAUCAUACCACGUAUCAAUGUGAAAUCAAAAGUAUAUCAACAGUAAAUCCAUAAAUAUACCACAACACCGCAUUUUAUCAGCAAUAUCAAUAAUCAUGUGAUUAAUAAUCCAUACUAGCACGCAAGUCGGAGUCACCUAUAGUGACCUGUACGACUGCACCCAUAUCUCAUCAAUCAAUGCUAGCACAUAAGUCGGAGUCACCUAUAGUGACAUGUACAACUUAUCCAUAUCUCAACAAUCAAUGCUAGUUCAUAAGUUGGAGUCACCUAUAGUGACUUGUACGACUUAUCCAUAUCUCAUCAAUCAAUGCUAGCUCAUAAGUUGGAGUCACCUAUAGUGACCUGUACGAUUUAUCCAUAUCUCAACAAUCAAUGCUAGCUCAUAAGUCGAAGUCACCUAUAGUGACCUGUACGACUUAUCCAUAUCUCAUCAAUCAAUGCUAGCUCAUAAGUCGGAGUCACUUAUAGUGACUUGUACGACUUAUCCAUAGCUCAUCACAUAUCCCUGCACACGAGUCAGAAUCAUCUAUAGUGGUCUGUACGACAGGAUUUUGUGUAAAUAAAUACGCUUCAGUGCUACGAUCACGUGAAGACUGUGAGAAUAAACGCGGGUCACCAACGAGUUGGAACCAUCUAUAGUGGUCUGUAUGACAUGAUUGUGCACCUACCUUGGAUCUAAGGUGAGCGUAAGGUGCGGGAGGUGAACAUCACGUGAAUGACUGUGCCUUGGCCACGGGCGGGAGCACUAACACCGGGGUGCAGGUUUAUGAGCUUUACUUGCAUCUAUUAUAUUAUGUACGCCUCAUGGGCAACCUGUACGACAGUGUCGGAGUUGCCUAUCAUUGCAAUAUGUACGACAAGGUCGGAGUUGCCUAAAACAUACACAUAGUCAUGCCAUAACUCCCUCAUUUCCACUAAUACCAUAAACUCACCUGAACUUACCUGGGUGUCCUGUGUUCACCUUUGCACUUCAAAACGUUCAAAAUAAUUACAAGCAAUAAAUAUACAUAUAAAUAUACCAUGAUGCAAUCUAAUACUCAAUCAUGUCAUAGCAUUUACAAUUAUAUAUAUAUAUAUAUAUAUAUAUAUAUAUAUAUAUAUAUAUGUAUAAUAUGGCAUAAAAUGCAUAAGCUGUAACACCCUACUCCCGAACUAUUUAUUUUCGGAAAUAAUAUGGCUCAACUAAACAUUAAUUUAACUAACUAUCAAUAGUUAGGAUUCUUUACUUCAAUUUCUCAAUCCUUCACACAAUGAUUUAUAACCAACAUCCCAUCACUAAAUCAUAAGGAUAAAUCUCACAUUUUCCACCAAUGUCCCUCACAUUGCACAAUUUCCCAAAGAAGGCUAUUGUCUCAAUUAAUUAGUCUCAUUUAUAGUAUGGCUGCAUCUAACGUCUCGUUAGACUGCCUACGUACCCUAACAGGGAUCAAGCCAUUCGUAGUUCGCAUUACUACUUCAAAGCAUUCACAGUAAUUAUAUGCAAUAAUCAAUUUAUAAACAUUUGUGGAAUUGUCAAUCAUAUAUAUAUAUAUAUAUAAAAUAUACGAUAGAAAGGAAAAGACCCACUCACCUGAGGUCCGCGCUACGACUCCCUAGCAUGCAUAUCGAGACAUCACGAACUAUCGUUGCCUAUGACCAAUUAUCAAAUCACAUCUCAGAGUUCUGACCGAUGGAAUACAUAAUUUACAUAAAACACAUCACUACGUAAUUCAAUUUGAAAGAUCUGCAUCACAUAUUUCUGAUCCGUUGCUUCCAAAGAUCCACAUUAUACUUUUAGAACAACAUCCUACAGUUUCAUUAAGAUCCAACGGUCAGAUCUCCGCCAAUUGCCAAAACCAAAUGGUGGUCAACAUUUUAUUUUAUGAACUUAUAAAUCCAAUUCGGAAAGAUCCGUACAUCAAAUUCCCGAUCCAUAAGUUUUUAUGGUCCUCAAAUAUUACGUACUAAUGUAUCAAAGUUUGGUGACGAUCGAACGGACGAAUCAUCGAUUCAUAUAAAUGCCAAGCGAUGUAUCAUAAUGAAACUAAGUUCAAACAAUCAAACCACAUCAUAUGGAUAUCAAUUAUGACAUACAUCUAAUUGAACUUAAAAGGACAUCGUCGGUCCACUGGCUAGGCCGUCGCCGCACGUGCCGCCGCGCGUGGUGGUUGGCCACCACGGUUCGCCGGAAAAUUCCACUAUUUCUAAAAAUUCUCAAAUUUUACAGAAAUGAAGAUCUUAAGAGAUGAACAACUUUCAUACCUACCACGAAGUCCAAAAGUGGACGGAAGAUGGUCAAUUUUUCCCACAAAGCCGGCGGUGCCUAAAACUUCUCGGCGUUGAUUCCUCGUCUACGGUGGACCAACGGGGUCAAGGUUGGUUGGGAUUUGCUCCUGGGAUGAUGGGCUACAAAGCCCAAGUGGUGGCAUAGGCCAUCGCUUUGCUGAUUUGUCAAAAAAUUGAAAAGAGUGGCCAGACACGGUUUUGAUGGGUCGGAUUUUGUGGCUUCGCCCCGCCACAUGUGGUGGUUUCUAAAGGUGGUUCUUGGGUGGGUUUUGUAGAGGGGAAUGAGAGCUUCAAGAUGGUCAUGGUGGGGUCAAAAAACUCCAACGGAGUUUGCCGGAAUCUGCCUUGGAAGAUGGGUGGUCGUAAUGGGUGUGGGUGUGGGUGCACAGAAAGCUGGGAGCUUUCCCUUUUUGGUUUUCCUUCUUUUCCUAAUUUCUGAUUGGGCUGUUGCCCUCUCCCUCUCUCUAAUUGGAUCAUUGUCCCUUUAAUUUAAUUGGUCCACUAUUCUCACCUGGUGGGAGUUCAAAAUUAACUAACAAGUAACCAAUUUCAAAUAUCCAUAACGAUACCGUUAUAAUCCGGACUCGCAAACGGCGACUACGCAAAUACGCCAAAAGAAUAAGUCAUACUUUUUUCUAGACGAUGGUCAACAUAAAUCAAAAUCAUUGCCUCUAAACAUUUUUGUCAAUUCCCUCGAUUAAAAUAAAUAAAAACGAAAUUUUAGGGACGGAUUGUCACAACAAUUGUUUUUGGGUUAUAAAAUUUAAAUUUUAGCCUAAGGGUUGAAGAUGAUUUUAGUACUAGACAUGUUUCUAAUAUUUUCUUUUUGAAAAAUAAUUUUUGAAUUAAACUACCACAAAUUUUCUAUUCAUAAAAUGCAAAAUUCUUUUGUUGUUUCGUUUUGUAUAAUAAAAUUCAUCAAAAAAAAAAAAAAUAUAUAUAUAUAUAUAUAUAUAUAUUUUUUUAAACUUUACGAAUUGCUUCAUACCAUGCCAAGUGUGGUAUGGUUAACUGUUUAUAAACGGUUAUGGGUAUGGGUAUAACCGUUUAUGCAAUUACCCAACGCAUAAAUAGUUAUGCGGGUAUGAAUAUAAACGGUUAUGGGCAAAUAACCGUAGUUACCCGCCCGUCAUAACCAAUGCCCAUCACUACAAGUGUCCCAUGUCCCCAACUCACAUUGUCCAACCAAUUACUAAUUCCCACGUGUCAAAUAAUUCACUCACACUAACAAUCCCUGUCCAAGUAUUUACACCCAAAGUACCUCCUUUCCUUUCGCAUAUAUAUGCCCACAAAUCCCUCAGCCUUAACCCGCAAGGUCGCAAUUCUAUCUCCACCUUUCUUUAAUUAGGGUUUUGUUUUGGUCUUCGUCUCCUCACUUUCUGUUUCUAGGGUUUUGUUCGAUUCGCAAUUACGCAAUCUAGGGUUUUCACUGCAAUUAUCUCUCUAUAAAUAGUAUACAUUGAAAUAUUUCAUCUUUCGGUUCGGAUCCUAUUAGAAUUCUGAUUCCUUCUAUUCUGCAACUGUGAUCGUGGAGUUAGGUUUUCUGAAUCGUUCCUUGUUUGAUUCUUGAAAAGGGUUUUUUAUUUUGGGUUUGAUUUGGGGAAUUUGUGGAGUUUUGGAGAAUUUGAUUGGGGAAACCAUGCCUCCGAGGACGGUGAAGAGAGGUGGGGCGGCGGGAGCGAAGAGGACGACGAGAGUCACCAGGGGGACGCACAAGGCCCAGAACCAGGUCCAGCCUGAGGCUCCAGAUGAGUUGGUGAAGGCCGAGGAUGCGGUGCCGAUGGUGGAAUCUAAAGAGGAUCUCAAUGUUGAAGAGAUUAAGGAGAAGCCAAUUGCGGCGGACAAGCUCGUGGCUGUCGAGGAGAAGCCAGUUGUUGAUGAAAAGGCAUCCGUUAUUGAUCAGUCAGGGCCUUCAGAGAUGGAAGUUGAAGCGAAAGCAGAGCAGAAAGGAUUAAAAAGUAAGUUUUGUUUUCAUUAUGUAAUUUUGUUGGGGCUUGAUUGAAUUAAGUAAUUUGCUCUUGAUUUUCCACUGCUCUAUGUUUUUGCAUGAUUUUAUAUAUGUUUUAAGGGACUGUGGUAAUAAUGCUUAAUCUUUUGUCUAUAAUGUGGUUUUUGUUGUGGUAAAAGGGGUAGAGAAUGAGUAACAUUUUCUCAAUCAAAUUUCUUGUAUAUUUAAUUUUCUGUUAUGUGGGAUGUUGUAUAGAGCUUAGGGAAACAAUAAAACCAACUAAGGGAAAUAAUUUAGAAAGAUUCCGAAGAAUAAAUGUCUACACAGAAAUCCAUUGAGGAAUACGUUUUUGUAAAUCUGGUAAUGCUUGCUCUUCCAUGCACUUUGGUGGCUUUAAAUAGAAGUGGCCAACUUGUUCUUUCAAGAACAAUUAGUUCUUGAGUGGAGCGUAGAAGUCGGUGUGAGCGUAGUGGAUUGUUAACUUAGUUCUUGCUCGGUUAUGUGUCAAAAAGUUGGUUAAUAUAUGGAUCAAGGAUGACAGUAUAAACAGUGUAAGCAUGGAUCAUACUCUUUCCUCUUUGUUUUUAGCUCAGACUGGUUUAUGUGAAGAGCAUAGACGGGAAGUUUAAACCUUCUAAGUGGGAUCAUACUGUUGUGACUGAGUUUUGGAUCAAUUUUGUGUUUAGACAUUGUUUCAUAUGCAAGCAUUAAGUAUAGAAUGACACUUCAGGCAUUGUAAAAGUAGAUCAUGCCUUUUUUUGGGGAUCCGUUAUGUAUUAAUAUAAUCAUGGUAUUCUUUGUACUGUGUUUAUCUGCGAUGGACAAGGACCGUCUUAAUUAAAUUAUGAACUCUGCUUGAUCAUAAUGUAGAACUUGAGUCUCUUUUAACUUAAGGUAUUGUCAACCGUAAUUUAUCGCAGAACAAGAUAAGGUUAAGGAGUCUAUAGAUGAUUAUGAAAAAGAUGAACAAUUAGAGCUGGAGGAUAAUGAAGCUGAGUAUGAACCUGAAGAAGAUGGUGGGGUUGAUUAUGAUGAGAAGGAAAUGGAACAAGAGGAUAUCCAGGAGCUCGGGGAUGAAGGAGAUGAAGAACCUGAGGAGAUUGUAGGUGAAGAAGAAGGUGAUAUGGCUGAGGAAGAGUUGGAAGAUGGCCACGAAGAACUCGAGGGUGAAGAGUUUGAGGAGCAUGCUAGCGAGGAGCAUGAGCAUGAGCAUGCAGAGAUGGUUGACGAGGAAGAGGAGCACCAUGAAGUUGUAAAGGAGAGACGGAAGCGCAAGGAGUUUGAAGUAUUUGUUGGUGGUCUAGACAAGGAUGCAAGUGAGGCUGAUCUUAGGAAAGCUUUUGCUGGUGUUGGUGAAGUUACUGAGGUCAGGCUGAUGAUGAACCCUCAGACUAAGAAGAACAAGGGAUUUGCGUUCUUGCGUUUUGCAACUGUGGAACAAGCAAGGCGAGCAGUUGCGGAGCUUAAACAUCCAGUGGUAAUCUUUGAUCCUUUCGUAGUUCGAGCAGAAACUGGUUUCUUCAUAUAUUAAAUUCUAUUCUCUGAAUGAUUGCAAUUCCAGAUUAAUGGAAAACAGUGUGGUGUUACUCCAAGUCAAGACAGUGAUACUCUUUUUCUGGGUAACAUAUGCAAGACAUGGACAAAGGAUGCUGUAAGUAUAUUGGCUUACAUCAUUUCAAAAUUCUCUGACUUAUCAGGAGAUGAUUAAAAAUUUCUGACUUCUUUUGAUGGCUGUGGUUUCAGUUGAGAGAGAAGUUGAAACAUUAUGGAGUAGAUAAUGUUGAGGGUCUGACAUUGGUUGAAGAUACUAACUAUGAGGGAAUGAAUCGAGGCUUUGCUUUUUUGGAAUUUUCUUCUCGUUCAGAUGCCAUGGAUGCUUUUAAGCGACUUCAAAAAAGAGAUAUUGUGUUUGGAGUUGAUAGGCCUGCAAAAGUUUCUUUUGCAGAUUCCUUCAUUGAUCCUGGUGAUGAAAUCAUGGCACAGGUAACGUAAAUUUUCUGCUAUAUUAUAGGAACAAUAGGAUUCCUGGAUGGGUUAUCUUUCUGAUGAUCUGUUCUUGUGUUUUGGUGUAUGAACGUAUACAAAGGUCCUUGUAACAUCAAUUUUUUCCAUGAGUGUAUGGAGUCCUGGAUAAAUUCUCUGUUGUGCUCUUUUUUUAUGUUAUGGGAGAUGAUAGAGUUACAAUAUGCCCAUUGAUGUUCUCUUGUACAAGUAAUUUUUCUAGUUUGUUGACAAAUUAGCAUAUAGCACCUGUAACAUGUUGAAUUAGAUUCUUUGGAGUUGUUUUUUGGGUAGCAUUAUCUUAAUUUCGUGUUACUUGUUUUCUAAAAUCUUGUUAAUCUUUUCUCCUCAAUUGACUAUGAUAAAGUUAGUUAAGUAUGGGAAAGCAAUUGUGAUUGUGUUUCUUUGAUAUAGUGUUAUUAUGCAGUUUAGAGGAGUUUAGGUGAUUGUUGGAGCUGCUGACUAAAUAUCUUGAGAUGCAGGUCAAAACUGUGUUUGUUGAUGGCCUACCUGCUUCAUGGGAUGAGGACCAUGUCCAAGAUCUUCUUAAGGAAUAUGGGAAUGUUGAAAAGAUUGAGCUUGCGCGGAACAUGCCCUCUGCUAAGAGGAGAGAUUUUGGUUUUGUUACAUUCGACACUCAUGAGGCUGCAGUUACGUGUGCUAAAAGCAUUAACAAUUCAGAGUUAGGUGAAGGAGACAACAAGGUGUGUUGGCUGGUAACAGUUAUUUCAAAAUUAGACAUUACCGAUGAAAGUAUUUUAUGUAUUGGCAUUUGUUGGACAUGAAUUUAUGAAUAAUCAUCGUCACUUUUAGGCGAAAGUCAGGGCGAGGUUAUCAAGACCGCUCCAGAGGGGUAAAGGAAAACAUGUUGGGCGAGGAGAUUAUCGAUCUUCUAGGGGGGUUGGACGAGUUGUUAGAGGUUCAUGGGGUCACCCAGCACCACGCCCUCUCCCUCCUAUGCGUAGUGGGUUAAGGGGAGUUGGAAGUCGAAUCCCACCAGCCAGUGUAAAGAGGCCUGUUGCGCUAAGAGAUAGACGCCAUGUGAUGUCAUCUUAUCCACAAAGAGGCAGGCCUUUGCCUCCUCCAUCUAGGUCCUAUGACAGGAGGCCACCUGGUAUGCAAUAUUUUAAUUUAUAAUGGCUAAUGGGUUGUGUGACAACUUUUAUCUUGUGAAUAAUAAUAUUCCUAUACUCUUUCUAACAGUUCCUGCGUACCCAAAGAGUAGCUUCAGGAGGGAAUAUAGCAGGCAUGAGGACCUUCCUCCUCCAAGGAGUAGAGCAGCCCCUGAUUAUGGAUCAAGGGCUGUUCCAGAAAGACGCCAAUCGUACAGAGAUGAUUACGCUCAGCGUGGUCCUGCCUACUCUGAUCCACCAAGAAGUACAUCUCGUACAACAGGAAGGAGAGCUUAUGUUGAUGAAGGUUACGGACAGCGGUAUGAAAGGCAUCCUCCCCCUCCUCCUCCUCCAAGUUACCGUGAAGGUCGUGCUCGUGAUUAUGACACUAUUUCUGGUUCAAAACGUGCCUACUCUGCACUGGUUAGUGUUAAUGACGUCAUUUUCUAUAGCUGGAAAUGUAAUUUACUUGGUUUUCUCUGGUAGGAUAUGAAAUAGGGCUUACAUUCUUCUUCCAUGUGUUCUAGGAUGAUGUUCCUCCCCGUUAUGCUGAUGCGGGCAUCCGCCAAUCAAGGGCACGGUUAGACUAUGAGUAUGAAAGUGGUUCGUCUCAAUAUGGUGAUGGCUAUAGUGACAGGUUUGUUCCUUGAAUUGUAACAUUAACUUUUUAUUAUCUCGUGUGGAUGCAGCAACUUACCUUUUGUUGUGUAUGAUAGACUUGGGAGAUCUAAUAUGGGAUAUGGAAGCAGCAGAACAAGUCAGGAUUCUCAUGGACUAUACAGCAGUCGUCAGGGCAUGGGCUAUGGAGGAGGUGCGAUUGUAAUUUCUGGUUAUCUGAUAGAUAGUAGUUUUAUUGUUGAAACCAUAGAAUUAAGGGUCUUAAGGUUUUUUAAUUUCUUUUUCAGGUUCUUAUGGUGGUAGUGACGUUGGUGGAAUGUACUCAUCCAGCUAUGGUGGUGAUUAUAUCUCUCGUGGCAGUGACGUAUGCACCUAAUCUGAUUUGAUUAAAUGAAAAUAAUAGGUGUUCCAUUUAGCUGUCUCAUAUAUCAUUAUAUCUUGAUUCUCUAUUGUAGGUUGGAGGUAGCUCUUACUCAUCAAUGUACUCUGGCCGUGGUGCGGGUGGAAGCAGUUAUAUGGGUUCAGGUGGUUCUGGCUCAUACUAUUGAGGUAAUUUAGAUUGUUGUGUUUUUCAUGUUUUGUUAAGUUUCAUGUGUGUGUAAUUAUGAGAGCGAUGCGUGUGUCAUUAUUACUAUUUUCCGGCUGGAGAUUUAUUUUCUUCCGAAGGCACGACAUCUCGUCUUUGGCUCUAAGAGGUCAUUGGUGAAAACAGAGCAAUAUAUGGUUACAAGUGAAUUUGUCUAUGGAACAGAUCUGACAUGAUGAAGAGGAUGCUGUGGGAUGUGGACUGUAUGAAGCUUUUUACCAUUAUGAUGCCUAGAGUUAUGGACACAGAAUUUCCCUAAGAACCUAUGUAUGUGCUGAGGAGCCGCCCUCUUAGAUUUCCAGAGAUUGGAUAUUGUGCCAGGCUGUAGUUAUUUUGCUGCAAGGAAACUCAAGAUAUUCGGAGAUGCAAGUGCUUAGUUUAUGACGUGUCUUCUACUUCAUCUACUAGAAGAACUCCACCUGACGGAAAAUUUGGAGUCCUGCUGCAUCCUUUGUUCGUAUGAAUAGAUAAGACUAUAACAAGAGAAAGAGGAUUUUCUUAAUGUGAUUAUAAGGUAUUUUGGAUAUUUUUAAUGCUGAAUCCUUUGGAAAGGUUUGAAUAAUAAAAGCCGUUUUGGCCGUUUUAGAUCGCUUAAUCAAUUCAGUUCCAUAUCGUUGAGUGGGUUAUCACGGAACUGAAGGCUAUAAGGAAAGAUUCAGCUUGCUUGGAAUUGUACGAGAUUGUGGUCCAAAAAGGUAGACCUGGAAUCUGUUGCCUGGUGUGUACAGUUUUAGUUACCGCGUGAUUUAAAUUUGCAUUUUUGACAUAUAUAUUGAUAUUUAAGGAAACAUAUUGGGAAAUUACAAAGAAGAAUGAGUAGGACUCUAGUUCAUAAAAUUAUCUUACAUUGCUUGCUAAAAUCUCGAUUGAAGUAUUAUUCUUAAGUUCCUUGCAACCUCUACCAAGAACUGUGAGAGUCACCUGAGAGCAAAAGUAGGACUGAAAAACACUGAAAGAACACUCUUGCUACUGUUAUCUGGAUUGCAGAAAGUCGGUAUUUGUAAAGAAGGGAUGCAAUUGGCAAGUAUUCCACUUUGUAGAAGCACGUCUUAAUGUGGAAUAUCCCAUACUAAGUGUGGGUGGAUCACUUUGGCACGUUCACGGAGUCUAAAAGUUGGUUGUAUCUUUACGAGCAAUUCUCGCAGAUUAAAAGCUUGUGGAACUUGGAGGUAACUAGUACCUGAGUUGAGUCCUUGUCCUUGUAUUGUUCAUUAGGGCUUGUUAUGGUCAAGAUAGCUUAAAUCUUCUCAAAUCCUUUCGAUCAACUCAUUUUGAUUGCUUUAGCGUAUCCAAGGACUAGUUGCUGGUUGGAAGUUGUUUCACUUGAGCGGUUUUACUUUGAUAUGCUUUUGAUACAUGCCAGUAUCCUAUCGAUGUUCGGAUGCAACUGAAUGCUGGAUUGAAUUUUAAUGGGGUGCCAUAUACUUUUUGUUAUUCGUGUUCACUAGUGAAAUACGACAACCUGAUUGUGUGGAAAACCUAGACAGUCCUCGUUGUAAUGGGCAACGUAUUGUAUUUGGUAUAAAAUUUGCAGGACUCUCUCUCUAUCUCUCUCUCUCUCUCUCUCUCUCUCUCUCUCUCUCUCUCUAGAUUGGGAUUGGGAUUGUGAUUGUGAUUGUUCUAAAGGAAGAAUGGUUGGAUGUGUUUUUUUGUACAGGUAAAAUAAGAAUUUAAUGAAUGAAACCUAAAUACCGCGCCUUCUGGUGCGAGUCAUCCAGUAAAAUGAGAAAUUCAUUGUCAUUGUAAAACUGAAGGACGUUAAACAUACUAGUCGUAUAUAAACCACAAUUUUUGCGCGUCUUGUACGCUUAUCUAGUUCUAUUUCGAAAUUUUGUAGUCAAGUUUGUAAUCGCUUCUAUUUUUGGAUUGUCCUCUUGGAAACCUUAACAAACCUUCGAUGGCUUAAUGUAGAGCAGCAAUUAAGAUUUGGUAAUAAACACUCCUGCUUGGGUUUUAGACGUAGGAAAAAGAACUGCUUUAAACAAUUGAAAAAAAAAGUAUUUAAGUAACAAUCUCUAAAUCGAACCUAAGAUCUCUCACUUACAAGUGAAAAGGAAUAUCACUAGACCGUAGUACUAAGGGACUGUUAUCUUAGAUGCAAAGCGUUCAUCUUCUAUAUAUAGGGAGCACACCAGUUUUGUGAAGCUUUUAUAAUAGGAAGCUUUAUAUAUAGAGAUAAAAACUUUCAUUAUAUUUUAAGGAAUUCCAUUAGUUUUUAAAUAUGUCAAAGAGAGACAAAAAUAUAAAAAUGACUAAAGCGUAGCCCAAAAACAUGGAAACAAUAUUUUAAAAUACCAGUCAUACCCCUAAGGCUUUAGGAUUGUUAAAAGAACCUAGCCUUCACAACUCCAACAAAACUAAUUGUGCAGUAAGCUCAAUCCAUCAUCAACUAUUUCUGCAGAAUUAGUUCAACCUGUCCUUAACAAUUUUUGCAGAAUCAGUUCCAUCUAUCCCAACCAUUUUUGUAGAAUCAGUUCAAUCACUCUUUGACCAUUUUUGCAAAUUUGUUCAACCCUUCAUCGAUUAUUUUUGCAGAAUCAAUUCAAUCGGUAUUCAACAAUUUUUGCAGAAUUAGUCACCCAUCCUCGAUUAUUUUUACAAAAUCAGUUCAACCCGUCAUCGACCAUUUUUGCAGAAUCAAUUUAAUUAGUCUUCAAUUAUUUUUGCAGAAUCAGUUCAACUUGUCAUUGAUCAUUUUUGCAGAAUUAGUUCAAUCAGUCAUCGACUAUUUUUGCAGAAUCAGUUCUACCCGUCUUCGAUUAUUUUUACAUAAUCAAUUUCACUUGUCUUCGACCAUUUUUGCAAAAUCAGUUCAACUGGGUCGACGUCUGCUACUUCAAGAUUAAGGACUUGGCCGAGAAGUUUGCCAUCCUUCACUUUGGUAUUUGCCCCUUUCGUUGGGACUUCUUUAGGGGUUCUUGAUUGCUCAUCCAUAUGGGUCUUUUGCUUCUCCUUUCUGGUUUUUUGUUUCUGCUCUGUAUAACUGUCAAUAAAGUGAAGCAGAAAAUAAAGUACAAAAAUUUAGGAAUUUGCACCUGCAACACGACUCAGACAUCGAAUCAAUGAAAGAAGAGAGAAAUUAGAACAAAAUUGAAUUGGGUGUUGGAGGCUUCUCGUCGAUUGCCAAUCUUUCAAGCUCUGCUCCAACUUCCUCUUCGGCCUAAUAUUAAGAGAGGAAGAAAGAGAAGGGAGGAACAGAUGAAGAGAUGGAAUUGUGAAAAGACUUUACCACUAUAAAUAGCACUUUUGUAACUGACACUCUAAAAAGAAAAAGACUAAUGUCAUCUUUUACAUGUAUUAACUUUUAUCCCUCUUAAAAUGUUUAAAAAAUAUUAUCUCAAUUUAAAAUUAACUUUCCAUAUGUGGACUAAACUUGUGAUUUUCGAAUUGCGUCUAACUUUUUCAUUUAUAAUUUUCCUAACUUAAAAGUUUGAAAUAUCAAAUUUACACAUGCAUUUGCCAAUGUAAAUAAUUUUCGAAGUGCCUCACGUGCCCUGCCCACUGCCCAAGUGUUAUACAAAUUAUUUUCCAUUUUUGACCUAGCUGGGAUCAACAGUGUUUUCAUCAUAUGACUAAGCUGUAAUUUACAAUAUUUUCUUAACAAAACUAAUGAAAAAAGUUUGAAAACUUUGCGUUUUAAUGAUAACGACAAAAUAAAGGGUAAAGUGAAUAGUACCAGAAUUGACUUUAAAAAGUGUACUUUAACGAAAAACUCCUAAUACUGUUCAUUUUUUAUACUUUUUAUACUUAAUUUUGUAUUAAGAUAGCAGUUUUUAAACAUUUCAAGAAAAAAUAAAACUUAAUACAUGUGUAAGAUGAUAUUAUUGGUUUUAUUUUUCUUUGAAGUGUGAGUUAACAAAAUGGCCUUUAUACAAUAAAUCAACCGUUGAGAUUUAAUUCUAGCAAAACAAUUGCAAACUCCAUCAUGCCAACCAAAAAGCUCCACCGCUUCCCUCUGCCAUCUUAUCCACUCAUAUGUUCCAUGGCUGCUUCUGCAUCAACCCAAAUGCUCUGUCCUCUUCCACCAUCCAUGUGGGUUCAUCGCCAUCUGAUAACCAGUCAGAAAAAUUGGUUGGUUUCUGACCUAUUAUCAUUUUAUUUCCUCUAAAUAGUAAAUUUAUUAAUUUUGUAAAAAAAAAGAGGAAAUUUUAACGAAAAAAAACUCUCGGUAAUGUCCACUCUAAUGAAAAAUUAUAUUUUUACACUAAAAAGUCAAUCAUAUACUAUUCAUUUUACCCUUUAUUUUGUUUUUAUCAUUAAAACUCAAAGUUUUUAAUCUCUUUUCAUUAGUUUUCAUUUUAAAGAAAGCUUUAAUUUUUUAUCAAACGAUAGAUUUUGUUAGUAAGUUAAUUAUUUUUCAAAAUAUAAUAAUAAAGCAUAAUAAUAUCUAAACUAAAUAAAAUUAAAACCAAAAACAAAAAGGUAAAAUAAUAUAAAAGAACCAUAUAAUGAAGGGUUGAUCUUCCCAAUUCCCAACAACAUAAAAGUUAUAGCUUAUUUCAAACUAUACCCCUAAUGUUUGGGGUCAAUUACAAAAAGGACUCCUCUUUUCAAUUUACUACUUAAGAUUCACAAACAAAUAAAAAUAAAAAAAAUUAAUACUUAAGGUUGUAAAGUUUUGGGGAACUGCCAAAUUAGGGCUAUAAAAUCUCCAAUUUUGGAGUCAUAUUGAAUCAUGCAAUAUUAUUUUGAAGCCAAUUUGAUUCUAGUAUGCCUUAUAAAGUAACGUAGGUGGUGUAUUUCAACAGUUCAAAGAGACAUGUGGUAAAAAAUAAAAAUUAAAAGUUCAAGUGGUAUUGUAGACAUUGAAAUUUUGGUGGCAUAAAUGUUAGCGCUUGCAUUAAGAUUACAUUUGUAAACAUUGAAAUUUUAGUGAAAUAAAUGUUGACCAUUGUGUUAAAACUACAACCUUCAUCCAAAUUCACCUACAACCCCCACCCAAAUUCACCUACAACAACCAAUCCAAAUUCACCUACAACCUCCACCCAAAUUCACCUACAACAAUCCAUCCAAAUUCACCUACAACCUCAACCCAAAUUCACCUACAACAAUCCACCAAUUCACCUACAACAUACACCAAAACAAAUGGAUGGUGGUGGUUCAUUCUCAAGGCCUAUAAAUAGGCUCCUCCAUCAAAGAAUCAAAGGAGGAUUUUAGAUACACUUUCUCUACUCCCAAAUUGGAAGAGAAAUCACACCACACCAAAGCCUUGAAGCCUCGAAACUCUGAAGCUCUCAAGUAAAUCCCGAAGGAUCAAGAAAGCCCUAUCUGUUCUUCGUGAAAUCCUCCUUCAAGAUCAAGCUCCAACGCCCCUUGAAGAACUUCCACCCAUUCAAGAUCAAGCCCCGACGGCCCUUGAAGAAGGUGUUCAUCAUUCAUCAACUGUUCGUCCAAGAUCAAGCCUCGACGGCCCUUGGAUCAACAACACUACAUCUACACGUUUCAAAGAUAGAAUCAGAGGAUAAAUUUGUAGAAGAGAUUGUAACCCCUAAAUCAUUAAUACAAAUAUUAUUUUGGACACGUGUUCUUGUCUCUUUCGUUUCAGGAAUUUCCGUGUUUACAAAUUUGGCACGCCCGGUGGGACAGUCUCUACCUCUCAUCUCUAUCUUUGAAUCCGCAACAAGCACAAAUGGCGUCAAGGAAGGCCCAAGUUGUUCUCGCUGCCAAUGCAAGAAACAAGAGCGUCAUCACGACAGGGGGCAUCACUUCAGGCAUCAUAACUCGAAGUAAGGCAAAAGCUCUUUCCGCCGCCUCUUCCGCCCCUUCAUCAACUCCGCCGAAGGCACAAGAGCACCCGAGGUUCGAACCGGUGAUCACCCUGGCCUCGCUCAGGGCGCCAAGAGAGGAAAGCCAGAGGAAGUACUCUGAAUCCUUACUUUCCGAUGCCGACUCGAGCAGCGGCAUAGCUAUGCAAGUCAUGGUUACCGGAACAACUUCAAUUGAGGAGCAGCUGGCUCAGAUGAACGAAGCAAUCGCAAAGCUCACAAGGACUGUGGAGGAAAAAGACCUGCAAAUCGCAGCACUUGUUAACCAACUAGAUGCAAAGCCCGAUGAGAAAGCCAGGCAAGGGGAUAAUCCGGUAAAGAAGGAAAACGACGAGGAUGAGGAACCUCCAGUGGAGAACGUCGAAGAGACGCUGAAGCUAGACCAAGCGGCGACACUCAUGGGGUCUCUCUCUCUAUCCAGCAGCUGCAGGAGAUGAUCGCCAACACCAUCAAGGCGCAGUAUGAAGGAAGCUCACAUGAUUCCGUACUAUACUCAAAGCCCUACUCCAAGAAGAUUGACGCUUUGAAGAUGCCAAAGGGCUAUCAACCACCAAAGUUUAUGCAGUUCGAUGGAAAGGGGAACCCGAAGCAACAUAUCGCCCACUUCAUUGAAACCUGCAGCAAUGCUGGAACAGAGGGAGACUACCUCGUCAAGCAGUUCGUGCGCUCGCUGAAAAGCAACGCCUUUGACUGGUACACCGACCUCGAGCCCGAGUCUAUCAGCAGUUGGGAUCAGCUAGAAAAGGAAUUCCUCAACCGUUUCUACAGCACGCGCCGCACCGUAAGCAUGCUGGAGCUGACCAGUACGAAACAGUGGAAGGAGGAACCCGUCGUCGACUACAUCAAUAGAUGGCGUUCAUUAAGUCUGGAUUGCAAAGAUCGGCUCUCUGAAACCUCUGCCAUUGAGAUGUGUGUUCAAGGCAUGCACUGGGGGUUACAUUACAUUCUCCAAGGCAUAAAACCAAGAACGUUUGAGGAGCUGGCAACGCGCUCCCACGACAUGGAGCUGAGUAUCGCCAAUCACGGAAAGAAUGAGCCGAUCACCCACUUCAAGAAGGAUAAGGUGUUCGCCCCGAGUGUGGACAAGACCGGAAAAAAGCCUGCAAAGGAAACUUUUACUGUCAACACUACCCCCAUCAAAACCCCAUCCGCGCCUAUCAAGACCACCUCUGCACCUAUCAAGAUUUCCUCCAAGACCAAGGCAAAGGAGACAAAAAGAAGUGAGCCUCCUCGCACCCAAGACAAGUAUAAAAACACCUUGAGAGAGUUGGAGCAAAAGACGUACCCUUUUCCUGACUCAGACGUGGAUGCAAUGUGUUAGAUGACUUGCUGGAAAAGAAGGUAAUUGAGUUACCAGAGUGCAAGCGCCCUGAAGAAAUGAAUCGAACGAACGAUCCUAGGUACUGCAAGUACCAUCGUAUCGUAAGCCAUCAUGUGGGCAAAUGCUUCGUCCUCAAAGAACUCAUUAUGAAGCUAGCGCAACAAGGGAGAAUCGAGCUAGACCUUGAGGACACAGCCGCAACACAUACUACUACAGUGGCGUUCGGAUCCUUCGAUCCCGUGCCUCUCCAAACGACACCCAACCAUUCCUAUCAAUGUGCAAGCUACACGGCGCCUUCUACACAACCAUCGCCGGGGGCAAACGAACAAGAUGCGUAUACCGAUGAUGAUGAAGGAUGGACAUUGGUGACCUACAAAAAAACAAAGAAACCAAAACCACAAGCCACAAGACCAAAGGUGGAACAAGUGAGAAAACACCGUCGCCGCAACAGUAGGAAGCCUAAAAGAAACGUAAAAGUCGAUAAGCCAACGUAUGCUGGGGAACCCGUGGAGCAAGAGCCACGCAUUCCUGUCUCCUUGCGCGAGUACUUCCCGAAUGACUUCUUCCAACAGUGCACCAUCGCUGCAUGCCAUAUGGUCGAAGUAGAAACGGAAGAACCUUCAAAAAGCAAAGAUACCACCACUGAGGGAGAAAAAACUCUCACGCUCGAAGAAGGUCUGCCAACACACUUUAGCAUUGAGGAAGCGCUACGAUUACCAAAGAAGAUGCGAAUAGCAUUAGCAGCGGCCUUGGAAAGUCCCAAUGAACAUGAAGUGCAAGAAAGCAAAGAACGAAGACUUGAAGCUUCGGCCACAUGAAUGUGCCACAUGUUGUGCCAUAGAGGACGCAAUCCAUUUCACCGACGAAGACUUGCUGCUAGGAUCCAAGCCUCACAACCGUCCUCUCUUCGUCUCUGGGUAUGUAAAGGAGCACACAAAGUCAACCGCAUGCUUGUGGAUGGUGGAUCAGCCAUAAACAUCAUGCCAAAGUCGACAAUGAUUACAAUCGGCAUCAAGGCGGAUGAACUGUCCCUAAGUCGUCUACUAAUCCAAGGUUUUAAUCAAGGAGGACAAAAGAGCGAUGGGCAUGAUCCGAGUGGAGAUGACUAUUGGCGAACUCAAGUCGAGCACGAUAUUCCACGUGAUUGAUGCAAGAACUUCCUACGGCUUACUCUUAGGAAGGCCUUGGAUCCAUGCGAAUGGAGUAGUACCGUCCACCCUUCACCAAUGCUUAAAAUUCUACCGAGAAGGAGUGAAGGUGAUCUAUGGCGACACCAAACCAUUCACUGAAGCCGAAUCACAUUUCGCAGACGCCAAGUUCUACAUGGAUGAAGACAUGGUGCCCGAAGCUCUUCCAAAAGAGAUCAAAUCCACGGGCAAAGCAACACCUAAAAAAGCAGGAACGACAAGCCAUGCCCAAGAAGCAAGAAGAAGAAGUUACGCCGUCUUCAAGCAAGAACGAUAAUGAGCCGGCUAAACGUGCAACAACAAAGGAGAGUAAGACGCCCUCAAAUGGACCAAACACACCCGUCUUCCGAUACAUCCCGAUGUCGAGAAGAAAGAAUGGUCAAUCCCCGUUCGAAACUGGAGCAAACAAAGCCGAUGCACAGAGGUAUAUGGAUAAUGUAAAGUUGCUCAAGACGAAUGCAGUUUUACCUCUGACGCAGCUAGGCGGCACUAAGGUCGCAAGACUACCACAAGGCUUCAUAAAAGCUCUACCAAAGGGGGUGGAACCAAGCUUUCUCCCAACCCAGAGGACCGAAGAAGGUUUUGAUCCAAACGCCUAUAAACUCAUGUCGAAAGCUGGCUACGACUUUGCUUCUUCUUCGAAUCAUGGAAAGAAGGUUUCAAACACCGUUAACAAUAAAGAAACGUGACCUCACCGAGACUCAAAGGAAGUUGAAGAAGCACGGUUACGGAGUUGAUAACAACAAAAGCUGGACUAGGCUUCACACCAAACGCACCCGUGAAGAUUUCAAGCAAAGCGAAAAAUGCUAGCACUCAACACAUCAGCGUGAGUAAUGAACAAGAUCAUGAUGAGCCUAAAUCCACCCCUUGGACGUCAGUCUUCGAUAGGAUGAAUCGUUCAAAACCCAGAAUGUCAGCAUUUAACCGCAUUGGUGGUCAAAACCGAACCUCCGUCUUCAAGAGACUUAACAUGCUAGCAUCCCAAAGCUCUGUUUUUGAAAGGUUGUCAAAACCUAAGAAGCAAAGCAACACGACUAGCUCUCUUCCUCGUCAGUCAGCUUUGGAAAGACUUGAAGACAACAAGAAGUUUUCUAGAAAUAGGAAGACCACGUCAAAGGAAGAAAAGCUCGUCAUGAUAGCAGAAAAAUGUGAUAUUCGAAGCUCAAUUCCUUCAAGGAUGAAGCGCCAAGCAAUCUUUGGAGGUGGACACAAAUGGACCACUAAAAGUAAGAAGGCGCACCAUCAUCCACACUGGACAAUCUUCAUGCCGACCAGCCCAAGAGGACGACACCGAAGAGGAAUUCCAAGAUGUCUUCCACAUCACGAUCCAAGAAAGCGAAGAAGAAUGAGAUCCCCGAAGAAGGUGUCACUGCUGCGCCACCACAACUGGAGGAUGGGGGGCAAUCCACAGUCGAUGAUCUCAAGGAACUCAAACUUAGGCAAAGAGGAGCAGAGACCUAUCUUCGUGAGUGCGUUGCUAAGUGCGGACGAGGUAGACGAGUAUUACCAACUGUUAUCAGAGUACAAAGACGUCUUUGCUUGGACUUACAAGGAAAUGCCCGGCCUUGACCCUGUCAUCGCUGUACAUCAUCUUGCAGUUAAGCCCGGAACGAGACCAAUAAAGCAAACUCAAAGGCGCUAUCGAUCCGAGCUCAUUCCACAAAUUGAGGUAGAGAUUGACAAGCUAAUCGAAGCAGGCUUCAUUCGAGAGGUGCAAUACCCUAAGUGGAUCUCCAACAUCGUCAUCGUCCUUAAGAAAUCUGGACAAAUACGUGUUUGUGUAGACUUUCGGGACCUCAAUGACGCUUGCCCGAAAGAUGACUUUCCCUUGCCGAUCAUCGAAAUCAUGGUGGACGCGACCACUGGCCAUGAGGCACUGUCAUUUAUGGACGGCUCUUCUGGAUACAAUCAAAUUCGUAUGGCUCUCGAAGAUGAGGAACUAACAGCAUUCCGCACUCCAAAAGGUAUCUACUGCUACAAGGUGAUGCCCUUUGGUCUAAAGAACGCUGGAGCCACAUAUCAGCGAGCAAUGCAGAAAAUCUUCAAUGACAUGCUACACAAAAACGUAGAAUGUUAUGUAGACGAUGUGGUGGUCAAAACAAAGAAAAGAUCAGAUCACUUGAAGGAUUUGCGAGUAGUGUUCGAAAGGCUGCGAAAAUACAACCUUGAACCGUUAAAAUGUGCAUUUGGCGUCACCUCAGGAAAGUUUCUCGGCUUCGUUGUCAAGCACCGUGGCAUUGAAGUGGACCAAUCAAAGAUCAAGGCCAUUCGAAACAAUGCCCGAGCCAAGAAACCUGCACGAGCUGAAAAGUCUACAAGGACGACUAGCCUUCAUCAGACGCUUCAUCUCCAACCUUGCAGGGCGUUGUCAACCGUUUAGUCGACUCAUGAAAAAGGAUGUCCCGUUCGUAUGGGACGAAGCGUGCCACAACGCUUUUGAAAGCAUAAAAAAAUAUUUAUCAAGUCCACCUGUCCUGGGGGCGCCUGUGCCCGGGAAACCACUCAUAUUGUACAUCGCCGCUCAGGAAAGUUCAGUGGGAGCACUCUUGGCACAGGAAAAUGAAUUCCAGAAAGAAGGAGCGCUUUACUACUUGAGUCGAACACUCACCGGCGCUGAGUUGAACUACUCCCCAAUAGAAAAAAUGUGCCUUGCCUUGGUGUUUGCCAUCCAGAAGCUUAGACAUUACAUGCAUGCUUACACCAUCCACUUGGUUGCUAAAGCUGACCCGGUUAAAUACGUCAUGUCCAAGCCAGUUUUGACAGGGCGACUAGCUAAAUGGGCGUUGAUUCUCAAUCAAUACGAGAUCAUUUACGUCCCAGCUAAAGCCGUCAAGGGACAAGCAUUUAGCAGACUUCCUUGCCGAUCAUCCAAUCCCAGCCGAUUGGAAAAUCUCAGACGACUUGCCUGACGAGGAGGGUAUUCUACAUUGACAUAUUCCCGAGAUGGACGAUGUUCUUCGACGGAUCUGCACGAGCAGACGGAGCGGGGGCAGGAGUAGUAUUCAUGUCGCCACAAAGGCAAAUACUACCUUAUUCAUUCCAACUAAGCGAAUUGUGCUCCAACAACGUCGCUGAGUACCAAGCACUAAUCAUCGGGCUCCAAAUGGCGAUCAACAUGGAAAAUCACAACCCUCGAGGUAUAUGGCGACUCCAAGCUCAUAAUUAGUCAACUCUUGACUGAAUAUGAGGUGAGAAAAGACGAUCUCGUCCCGUACUUCCGACUGGCAACUCAGCUGCUACAAAAGUUCGAGGCCGUAACACUAGAACAUGUGCCGAGAAAAGAAAAUCAAAUGGCAGACGCUCUCGCUAACCUAGCCUCGAGUAUGACACACUAGGAGAAGACGAAGCGGCAGACGUGCCAGUUUGCCAAAGAUGGGUCAUCCCCCUCGCCACCGAAAUGCUACUAGAUGAUACAAAUGUCAUCUCGGUACUUCCAGUCGAUGUUGAAGAAUGGAGACAACCAUUGAUUGACUACUUAGAGUAUGGAAAACUUCCAAAUGAUCCUAGACACCGCUCUGAAAUACGUCGACGAGCACCUCGCUUCCUCUACUACAAAGAAAACACUCUACCGGCGCUCUUUUCGAAGGAGUACUUCUGAGAUGCCUAGGUGAGGAAGAAGCCAAUCAAGCCAUGGAAGAAGCGCACUCAGGCGUGUGCGGGGCGCAUCAAUCUGGACCAAAGCUACAUUUUCCAGCUCAAAAGAAUGGGUUACUACUGGCCAAGUAUGGUGAAGGAUUGCCUGGAACAUGCCAAAAGGUGCCAAGCUUGCCAAUUCCACGCCAACUUCAUACAUCAACCACCUGAACCAUUACACCCUACAACUGCUUCGUGGCCAUUCGAUGCAUGGGGACUGGACGUCGUGGGACCAAUUACUCCAAAGUCAUCUGCAGGAGAAGCCUACAUCCUAGCUGCAACAGAUUACUUUUCCAAGUGGGCUGAAGCCAUACCCCUAAGGGAAGUAAAAAAGGAAACUGUUGUCCGUUUCAUCAAAGAACAUAUCAUCCACAGAUAUGGUGUGCCUCGUUACAUUAAUCACGGACAAUGGAAAACAGUUCUCCAACCGACUUGUAGACGAGCUCUGUGAGAAAUACAAGUUCAAGCAGCAUAAGUCUUCCAUGUAUCAUGCUCCGGCCAACGGUCUAGCGGAAGCAUUCAACAACAAAACAUUGUGCAACCUCUUAAAGAAGGUGAUCGGCCGAACAAAGAGGGACUGGCAUGAAAGAAUAAGCGAAGCACUUUGGGCAAUAUAGGACGACGCAUAGGACUCCUACCCAAGCUACCCCUUAUUCUCUCGUAUAUGGCGUGGAAGCUGUUUUACCGCUAGAAAGUCAAAUCCCUCACACUUAGGAUGGCUAUACAAGAAGGUUUGACUGAUGAAGAGAAUGCAAAGUUGCGCCUUCAAGAGUUGGAAUCACUUGACGAAAGAAGGCUCGAAGCUCAACAACACCUGGAAUGCUACCAAGCACGGCUAUCCAAGGCAUUCAACAAGAAGGUCCGCCCAAGGUCUUUCCAAACUGGAGAUCUCGUCCUUGCAUUACGAAGGCCUAUCAUCACAACUCACAAGACAAAAAGCAAGUUCACAUCAAAGUGGGAUGGACCGUACGUAAUACAAGAGGUCUACAUAAGCGGCGCCUACUUAAUCAUGGCAGAGGACGGCUUGAAGAUCGGUCCCAUCAAUGGCAGAUUCUUGAAGCGUUACUACCCCUAAAAAGCGACGACCAGACUCCUUGCCUGCAUGAGCCUAAACUGCACACGGCACAAAGCUCCUGGCCCGCAAGAGCAUAAACUGUGUACGGCAAAAUCAUCAUCAAAAUCACUAUAAAAAAAAAAUAAAUAAAUUCAUCGCUCAUUUGAACUACGUUGUGACUUGAUCCCUCAUCAACCGGGGGUACGUAGGCAACUUGAAACUUAAAAAAAACUUCAAGUACAGUCACAUCAUCAACAAAAACACAAAUACUUUGAAGAAAUAAAAGAGCAAAUGCAAGAAGGCGAAUACUUCAAAAAAAAAAAAAAAAAAAAAAAAAAAAAAAAAAAAAAAAAAAAAAAAAAAAAAAAAAAAAGAGAAAAACUACUACGGAGGCGAUCUUGAAGCAAGCCUUCCAAAGUCUUCAAAGUCUCCACCUCGGUCGGAGACAAGGUGGGCAAAUCCAUAGCCAGGCCUUUCUCUUGUUCUAGACGUGAGGUCUCCUCAUGGUGCUGAGAAAGUGUAGCUCUCUGUUCUGCAAGAACUUUUUCAAGUUGUGAUGCUUGAGUUCCCAACUGCUCUCGCUCUCGUACCAACGCAUCCAGACGCACCUGGACGGAAGCUAAAGAAGCCUCUGUGACUUGAUAAUCUCCCGAAGCAACUUGCUGAGAAGACCGGACUCUCGGGCCAAGGACAAGUCUAUCGCUGCAAGCUGUUGAGCUCGAUCAUCUGGGCUCAAUUUCUUCAAGGAAAUAGCGCGCAAGGAAGAAUACUCAGUGGAGGCGGCCAUAAGUUCGGCAAUCUUGUUCCUCAAAGACGAAGAAUCAACAUUAAGGUUGUCAAUCGUAGAAACAAGCUUCGACAAAUCUUCUUCGAGCAAUGAAAGGUCUUCCAGCGAACACUUCGAAAUCCUACUCUCAAUAUGGCUUUUUGACAUCCAAGGCAGCACGAAGUUUGAGGCGAUGGAUAAAUUGCUCGGUACCAUUAAGGUUCGGCCCUCUCAAAGAGAUCGCAGAACUAGCUGGCAAAGGUGCUGGACGUAUGAUGGACUCUUGCACGCCUUCACCUACACACGGCAGGCUUGGAAGAUUGGGCGAAUUUUGAACGAGCUCUUCACCGGGCGGAUCCCCGAUCUCCCCGUCUGUAAGCAGAUCGCCUCCAAGUAGCAUAUCCAUAUAGGAGUGAACACCCGCGGCGGCCAAAUCAAAAGGACAAGAAGGCCCCAACCUAAAGAAGACGAAGAGAGGUGUUAGAAGCAAAAGCUGAAAUAAGAAUAAGAAGUCAUGAGAGAGAAAGAAAAUGCAUACAUCUUUCUCUAGAGACACACGACCAUCGGAUUGGGGAGGCCUAAACACUUCUUUCUUUUUAUGACGAAAAUUGACAUCGCUGUCAACCUGAGCAACUUCAAGUGGUCGUUUGUUUAAAACUUGUUGGCGCUGCCGCAAAACAAGUCCAUCUUCAUACGAAUCAACCUCGUCACCCGCCUCUUCAGAAGCAUCCAAAUGGUGAGGAGAUGAGCACAAACGUUGACGGACUAAAGCCACAGGUCUGUCUUGCAAGGGAGUUGCACUCACACAAUCAAAAGGUACCAGCUGCAUAGGAGUCGCAAACUGCCUUCUUUCAACGCAUCGUGGCGUGAAUGGGAAGAAUUAUUACCACUUGCCAUCCCCAAAUCCUCAUGAUGUACCUUUGACCACCAAUGCGCGUAAACACGAGUCACUGGAUUACCCCUGAACUCGUCCUUGGCUGGCAGGGUGAUAUAAGCAUUCGUAAAUGCACGGGUACAAGACUCCCAAUGCAUGCAUAUACACGGCUUGCAAGGAUUCUGAUUGGGCCUUUUCCUUCAGCCUGCCCGGCACAUUUUGGACAAAACCAAAUUGCCUGUAAAACGGCUAAGGAACGGUACGGCUGAACGACGCAUCGGUUUUCUUGCCGCAAAGAAACAUACGCUGAGCGAAGACUUAUGAGAUAAGACAAAUCUGAAGAGCGAAGAUGCGAAUCAUCCAUGAUGCCUCGCCGUACUGAGCCAACUCUCGCCAGGCGGUCCAUUUUUAAACCUUCACAACUUCUAAACAGUGUUUGAGCCUGCGAAUCAUCAAGACUCCUCGCAGAAAGCACACCAGAAUACUUCGUCAUUAAAGGCCCCAACUUGACUGAAGACGGAGAAGAAGGACCUGACUUGUCUAAAGUUGACGAAGAAAAAUGAGUGCCAAAAUACUCACCCAACCAACCAUACACAUAGUGGUAAGGGGAGCACCGCAGCACGAUCUUCAGUGCUUGCCAAGUUUCGAAAAUAACGUUCAAGCCGUCGUAAAUAUUGGCUAAAACUGGAAUAGCAAGACUAAAAGAUUCGCCUACAGCCAUCUUGCUAGCAACUUUGAAGACUCCGGGACGAAUGAAGUUGACAUCAUCCUUGGGGAAAACAAACUUACAGAGCCAACAAGCUAAGAGAGCGGCUAAGUAAGAUUCUUCUAAGUGCUCUGACGCCACGCCACAAUCCUCGAAUGCCUUCAACUCAGCAGAAAGUACGACGAACAGCUGGACCAAUGACACCAGACGGGUCCGAGUCCCCUUAGGCCUGGUUGUCUUGUUACGACCGCUUUUCUUCGAAGGCCUCUUGUACUUCAUGGCAUCCCAAUACCAAAAUUGGAUCCAUGAAGAGAUCUUCACGCCUGACUUACCUGGGGGCCUCUUGGAAAAGCUUAUGGUAUGCCCCAAACAAAUAACGGCAGCUUGCAGGUAAUCCUCGGCUGUUGCGAUAAGAGAAAACUCUUUCCACACUAGGAACAACCUCAUCGUAAAAUUGUCCCUGGAUUGGGCAAGCCCUCCUAUCUUAUGGAGAUCCCAAAGCGAGAUCGACAUCUCCCCUCGAGCCGUAUGAAGUGUGUGUUGGUCGCUGAACACCAAUGCUCGAAGAAUGCACGAAUGACGGAAGGAUGUCGGUCAUAACUGAACAGAGAUGCAUAUACAGCAUGAUAAAGUCCCGUGUUGGUAAGCAUAUCUUUAGAACGGCUCAAGACAUCUUCAAGCCAUUCCCAAUAAAACUCAACAAAGGCGGCUCCUCCAGUAGUCGACAAGGUGCUACUCCAAGCCAUAGCUCCGCUACGGAUACGAUCGCCAAGAAGCUCAAACGAAACCGAAUGAUUGUGUCACGAACAUGGUGCGAAUGGUUCAAGAUAAGACUCAUCGAUGUGCAUGCCUUUUUCUUUGCAUUUAGUCGAACAGAGUCUACCACAUCCCAAGGUACUUCAGAAGACCACGACUUAAUAUGCAUGGAAUUGUCUUUUGCGGGAAGGGCAAGCGCCUUGGGGCCAGGUAAGUGGCGCAUAAAGCUUUAACGUCGUUCCACUAUCCUGUGAAUCGCCUUCCUUUGCAAGAAUGGUGAUAGUGUUGUUUUUUAAAACACUUGAGAAACACCAUGACUGCAACAAAAAAGUCAGCCACAAAACUUGAGCAGGGCGGCAAAGAAGGCAGCUACAGGGCGGGUCCUUCAAAGCACGCUGCAGUGGCAGAGGAAACCAAAAUGCUACGCAAAACUCGCGGCGGAGCCCCGCUGCAGUCUCUUGCACAGCUCCACACGGCAGCGCACCACCGAGGGAAAACUGUGAUCAAAAGGCACUACACGGCAAAAACUUAGUUGCAGUCUCUUGUACAGCCCCACAACGGCAGCGCACCACCGAGGGAAAACUGUAAUCAAAAGACACUACACGGCAAAACUUCGUUGCAGUCUCUUGUACAAGAACACCCACGUCCUGCUCACCCCGCCACUAACUGCAACCACGGGCAAAAGAACCUUUGUCAAAACAACAGUACACCCAUAUUUAUAUUAUUAUAUGGACACAUUACAUAUAUAUACGUAUGUGUGUACGUGUGCACGGCUGGUGUGAUGAGACAAAUCAGCAAUCUUCAUAUAUGUGCGCGUGCGGUGAUGGAACAAAGCAAGGUCAGUGUGUGAACGUGUGUGUGUAUAUAUACACAUGACAAAGCCAUGCAAACAAAGUCUGUGUGUAUGUAUGUAUGUGAAAUGAAAGUCAAAGUUUCUGUGUGUGUGUAUAAGGCACAGCAACAAAUCCCAUAUAUAAAACAUAUAUGCGUACACAGUGAUAAUGACGGGACAAAUCAAUUUCCACAUACAUGUACAUGUGUGCACGGUAUCAAUCACAACCAACUUCCAUAUAUAUGUAUGCAUGCAGAAUGAUGGGACAGCCGCCAGCCAACUUAUAUAAUAUAUAUAUAUAUAUAUAUAUAUAUAUAUAUAUAUAUAUAUAUAUACAUGCAAAGCGACAGGACACUCAACAUAUAUAUAUAUAUAUAUAUAUAUAUAUAUAUAUAUAUAUAUAUAUAUAUAUAUAUAUAUAUAUAUAUAUAUAUAUGUACGUACAACAUGUCAAAAGCAUCUCAGGGUUAUAUAAAUAUAUAUAUAUAUAUAUAUAUAUAUAUAUAUAUAUAUAUAUAUAUAUAUAAGUGUAAGUAUGUGCGGCAUCCAAGAUGAGACAACUAAUCUCAAGGUUGUGUAUAUAUAUAUAAAUAAGUGUAAGUGUGUGCGGCUCCAGGCUAUAUAUAUAAAGGCUUGCUGUGUGCGGUUCCAGGACAUAUAUAUAUAUAAACGCCUGCUGCGUGCGGCUCUGGGACAUAUAUAUAUAUAUAUAUAUGCAUGGUGAUGGGUUAUACAUAUAAACGGACUCACGAAGUAAAAGCUGCAUCCUGCUAGCCGACUGCCUUCUUCUUCCCGUCUGCAGCACUGGUCAUCCCCUCCUCAACGCUUUGCACACCUUAAGCUCCAGCACCGAGACUCCCCUUGUCAAGCUCACUUCUGCAGCCUCAGACCACCGUCUCUGUCCAUCAAUGCGAAGCCAACCCGAACCCGUCGUUCGCCGUCAGGAUCCUCUCUGCUGCAUUUCCUUCCAGCACCGAGCUCAGUAGCAGCAAACGAGGAUCCUCCAGGAACAAUAGGCGCACUGUUAGUAGCAUGAGCAACAGAGGAUGCUACAUAAGAAAGCCCAGUCGACGAAGAUGUAGAGCUGAAAGAGGUAGCAAAAUACAGAGACUUACCAGCUAGCAGACGCGGGGAACGCAGGAAGCAGUGCACGCAGUCGUGAUCGCAGCCAGGUAGUAGCUGUGUGGUGAAUGUGCAGUGCCCUAUGUGUGUAUGUGUGUGCGUAUGCCUAUGUAUAUAUAUACAACGAUCUCAACGGUUGCAAAAGAAACGGAUCCGCAUACGAUGCAGUGACUGUGUAAACAGCAAUCCGCAUGCAGUGAAGAAUGCAGUACAAUAGCUGUUCGCAAACAAUGACCCGCGUGAAGAGAGGAGUGCAGAGAAUAAUGCAGUACAGUAGCUGUGCAAACAGUGAUCUGCGUGAAGAGAGGAGUGCAGAGAAUAAUGCAGUACGGUGACUGUCGCAAACAGUGAUCCGCGUGAAGAGAUGAACGCAGAGAAGAAUGUAGUAUAGUAGCUGUUCAAACAGUGAUCCGUGUGCAGAGAAGAACACAUGAAAAAAAAAAAAAAAAAAAAAAAAAAAAAAAAAAAAAAAAAAUGGUUGCAGUGACUGUGCAAAUAAAAAUGGUACAGAGAAGAAUACGAUGCAGCAAGGAAGACCCGUGCUCUCCACUUCGCUUCCCCUUUGAAGAAUCAUGUUCCUAGUUUCUUAAAUAUACAUAAUAAUAAAAAAAAAAAUGAUGAAAGGUGUUUGGUGCGCAACAUCCAUCAAAACAUAUGUAUACAAAUAGUGAAAUCUUGGUGUAUGGCACUACUCAAAAAAAAAAAAAAAAAAAAAAAAAAAAAAAAAAAAAAAAAAAAAAAAAAAAAAAAAAAAAAAAAAAAAAAAAAAAAAAAAAAAAUUGAAGGAAAGGUGGUGGCGACAAAAUCAUUGAAAGAUGGAAAAAUGGGAAGAAUGGUGCAUCAGGCACCAUCUAAAAGAAAGGUUAUGGGAUGACGCACAACAUCAUUUAAAAAAAA
rnacentral:lncRNA from 1 species